rnacentral:rRNA from 1 species
AUGACACUCAUCAGCUGGAACUGUCGAGGGAUUGGGCACCCUUGCACAGUUCGUGAACUAGUGUGCCUAGUGCGCACUCAUAAGCCUAAGUUAGUCUUUCUGUCGGAAACUCGGAAAAGUGAGGAGUACGUGAAUAAUUUGAGAUGGAGGCUAGGCCUCAGGCAUUGUGUCUUGCAAUCCGGCACCGGUAAGAGUGCUGGUAUUGCCCUCUUCUAUGAUGAGGAUGUUGAAAUAAAAAAAUCGCAGUUGGUCCGAGGUACAUUGAUGUGUUAA